UACGGAGGGUGCGAGCGUUGUCCGGAAUCAUUGGGCGUAAAGGGCGCGUAGGCGGUCACGGUGCGUCCCGCGUGAAAUCUCCCGGCUCACCUGGGAGGGGUCGCGGGAAACGACCGGACUGGAGUACGGUAGGGGCAGAGGGAAUUUCCGGUGGAGCGGUGAAAUGCGUAGAGAUCGGAAAGAACACCAACGGCGAAAGCACUCUGCUGGGCCGACACUGACACUGAGAGACGAAAGCUAGGGGAGCGAAUGGG
rnacentral:rRNA from 1 species